UUGGAAGUUUUUUUAAAAAAUUAUUGACAGGGGUGCCUGGGCGGCUCAGUCAUUAAGUGUCUGCCUUGGGCUCAGAUCAUGAUCCCAGGGUCCUGGGAUUGAGCCCCGCAUGAGGCUCCCUGCUCAGCGGGGAGCCUACUUCUCCCUCUCCCACUCUCCCUGUGUGUGUUCCCUCUCUCCCUCUCUCUCAAAUAAAUAAGUAAAAUUUUAAAUAAAUACAUAAAAAUUACUGAUAGUCUAGAAAAGUUUAACUCAGUUUCACACGUUAUUAUUGAUAAUAUAUAAAUAUUAGGAUAAUUGUCACUUUCGGAAAAGCCUCCAUCACAGUUUCUUCCACAAGAUUUUAGGGUCUUUCAUGUUUUCUGGUGCAGUGAUUCAUAUAAAAUAAUUCUGGAUUUGGGGACAUUUCUUACCUGAUUUUGAGUCAGCUAAACAUAAUCUUUGUCAAAAUCUUUGUAUCUUGGGUCAAAUUGGCAAAAAAUUCUCAUCUUUUCUAGUACCAGCUUCCCGUCUCCCAACCCCUUGAGAUGGAAUGAGCAUAGUUAUGUUACUGAAAGAUUCAUGAUUAAAGUCCUUUCUCACAAGUCUGUGACCUUUUCAAGGGGAUUCAUUACAAAAUACCGGAUGUGAAAACAUUUGAAGCAUUCGGAUGAUUUGGCCUGGAAAGAGGAAGGCUAGAGGCAGCGAAUAAAUAACCACCUUUAAGGAUAUGAACCUUUGUGGGCAUUGGAGGCAGCAGGGUGUAUCUGAGCCUGAUUCCAAGACCUGGGGAGAGGCUCCGGUGACUGCCUAGUUAACAGGUUCUGCAAGUCCCUUUGAACAGGUUGGCCUAAAAUGGAUAAGAAGAAUAAUAGAGAAGUGUGUGAGUGAGAACAGCUCCAGCUGCCUCGCUUUGGACCCAAAGGGUGACCCGUGGUCUGGCACCUGCUAUGGGAGCUGGUUUUGCAUCAGUGGGGUGGGGCGGGCUUCAUGGGAGCACCUGACUGGGUCACUUAGUAGAGCAUGUGACCCUUGAUCUCAGGGUCGUGAGUUCAAGCCCCACUUUGGGCCUAGAGAUGAAGGAAGGGAGGGAGGGAAAGAAAGAGAAAUGCAUAAUCUCAGGCCCUACCCACAACUGCUGAUUGGGAAUCUGCAUUUUCACAGAGCUGCAGGUGGUUAUCUGAGAAGCCCUGGACCAGAGACUUGAGCUGGAACUUCCUAUGUGCCUGCCCAGGCUUGGCGGCUGUCUUUUUCCUUGCUGUGCCUUUAGCCUUAGGAACCGGCCUCUCUUCUUGCUUCUGGCAGUCGCCCAUUGUGUGGAUUCAUUCCAUCUCUGUUCCUCUCCCACCUGACUGCAGACUUCUACGGGACUGAGUUCUCUUCUUUGAUUUCUGGCCCUUCACAGUACUGGCACCCAGGAAGUACCAUUUAUGGAAUGCCUACUGCAUGCCAAGAGCUUUGUCUCUCUUAACUCAUUUGGCCCUCGCUUCAGGCCUGUAGGCUGAAACAAAUAUCCCUAUUUCAUGUAUGCAUGUAUGUGUGUGUAUGUAUGUACAUACACUGUCUCCAUGCGCAAGUUGGGGCUCGAACCCACGACCUCAAAAUCAAGAAUCGCAUGCUCUACCGAUUGAGCCAGCCGUAUGCCCCAGAAAGCCCCCAUUUUAUAGAUAAAGAAACUGAGGCCCCGUCACUUUCUUGUCAUAAGUGGCAGAAGCUGGGAACCAACUGAACCCAGGGAUGUCUGAUUCCAAAGCCUUCAGUAAAGGGGAUCAGUAAAUGUUGCUUGAAUCACUUACUGACUUGGUUAAUUGAUUUAAGCAUUCAUUAAUGUUCUUAUUUAUUCAUUGAAAAGACCAUGGGAGAUGAGCAGUGGAAUCUUUUUCUUCUUGGUGAACCCUUUCUAGAACUGGAGCUGUCUGGAAUCAACCUUACAGAGGCGGGGUGGGGGGGAGGAGGGGGGGGGCUGCAGAAGCCCCCAGCCCAUUCUGGGAGUGCGGAGGUGACAUGCCUAUGUCAGCCCCACCCCUUUCAUAAUGUCCUCCGUGACUCAGCAAAGAAACCAUAGGUCUGAAAUCAGAGAUGAAGCAAAAAAAAAAAAAAAAAAAAGACCCAAAAAACAAAAAACACAACCCUCAAAAAUGUUUUCUUUUCCUGGAGGAAUUUCCCUUUCAUGUUGCUCAUUCCUCUGCCAGGGAAUUCAGGAAGCCUUGGGCUUGGGGUCAGCUGUGACCCUCCAGUCUGGUUUUUCUGGGGCUCACCCCCCCUCCUGACUCCUCCCUGGCCCUGGGGGACAGCACCAGGCAUUCUUCCUCAGAGGUCUCCAGUUCUGGGCUGCCAGGGGCCCGUCCAGCCCAGCAUUCCUGAGCUUAUUUUACAUUGUUAAUCCUGAAGCUGGACCCAGAUUGUCUGAGUUCAAAUUCUGCCUCUACCUCUUGUAUUUGUGUGACUUUGACCAGGUCAUGUCACCUUUCCUCUUCAGCGAAGUGGGGAUGAGAGUAUAUUUGAGGGUUAAAAUAAUUAAACUAUGUAAAGCACUUAGACCAUAAUUAAACUAUGUGAAGCACUUAGAGUCAUCACUUUAUAACCGUUCUUGUUGUUCUUACUCAUUACGGAGGAGUUGUUAAUACCUGGAUGAGACCUGGGUGAUCUUGUGCCGAACUUCUCCUUCCAUUUGCCUAGCCUCACCCCAGAAUUUGCAUGGAUUCCCAGUUAUUCAUGCUUUAGAGAGUUUAAGGGGGCAACUGCAAAUGAGUGAAUAAAUUAAUAAAAUUAGAAAGCUCUGUGUUGCUCUCUGAAAAUGAGAUUAUUUUAAUGGGCGAUGAGGCAUGAGUCAGUCAAGUUGAUUUGGGAAUAACCACAUUCCAUCUGGGAGGAGGGUGGCCCUCUGAAAAUUUCCAAUCAUGGCAGUGACAGACCUGUUACCAAAGGCAGUUUACUGCUCUGUUGAUAGAUUCAGUUUGCAGCUCUCCAGACAACAGGGGAAGGAGAGUAAUUCUUGGCUGGAAACUGGCUUGCAGUUCUCAGCCCUGGGUGCAUUUCGGAAUCACUGGGGAACAAACAUACAGAACCUGGGCCCCGCACCUAGAGAUUCUGAUGUCCAGGCCUGGGAGUGGAACGGAGGCACUAGGAUUCUUAAGAAGCUCCCCAGGUAAUGAGGAAUGAAGUCCAACAGUAACCAGAGACAACCUAAUAGUAACAGAGCACGUUAGUAUAAACUCGGGGGUUCAUUUCUCUCCCCUUCGUAACCAUCCCCACAAGGCAGUUUAUAUUAUCCCCGUUUUACAGAUAAGAACGCUGAGGUUUGAAUAAUUUGGCCAAAGUCAUCCAGCAGGGCCAUUGUUUAAUCUAGGUCUGAGUCUGAAAGCUUGAAUGCAUUGUGUCACAUUCCACACUACAGAAGGUCAGCCAGGAAGAAACUUCCCAGAAAUUGACAUUAAGAUUGUUCCCUCUGUUGUAAACUAUAAAAUCGAUACAUAAUAGGUCAGAGCAAAGAUAUGCAAACUGAUUUAAAGAGACACAAAGGCUCCUAGAGCCAGAGAAGGCUCAACCUUCACCUGUGGCCUCUAUUAACAUAUCUAAAUAAAGACUGCCUCAGUGGGGGUGGGAGGGUGCUUGGGCCAUUGGUCUGGCCCUUUGUGCGCUGAGGGAUGGGUCCUGGGCCUGCCGACCCCUGGCAUAAUUGUGAUUUGUGAUCUGGCUUACACUUUUCCCCUGGGCUUCCUUCCUUUCUCUCUGGACCUCUCAAACUGUCAUUUCCUUCCAUGGGUCCUCUUUCUCCACCUGUCCUUUAAAAGAGGGUGUUUUCUGCACUCCCCUCAUAUUCCCCAGACUAUGACUGGGUUGCCUGGUGCUGAGGACUUCAGAGGUGUGUACACCAGGUGUCCAGACUCUAGGCAUCAAGGUUAAGGUUGGGGAGAGGGUAAGGUGUCAUCAGAUAGGAGGGGGAGCUCCCAUCCGAGAUGGCUCGCUUCCUGCCGUGGUCCCUAGAAAUUUCUUUACAUUGUUUUUUUAGCCUCAGUCUGUUGUUUAUCUGAGAAAUGGGAUAUGAAUGCCUAUCGUACAUGAUUGUCAUAAGGAUGAAAACAGACAGUAGGCAUUCCGAGCACUCAGUAAGAACGUUUACUUAUUAUUAUUAUUAUUUUUUACAUUUUAUUUAUUUAUUUGACUGAGAGAGAGACAGAAGAGGGAACACAAGCUGGGGAAGCGGGAGAGGGAGAAGCAGGCUUCCCACUGAGCAGGGAGCCUGAUGUGGGGCUUGAUCCCAGGAUGCCAGGAUCAUGACCAGAGCGGAAGGCACGCUUCAUUCUGCUGUGCUUACAUGGAUGGCUAAGCCCUGGUCUGGGUACUGGGGAUAUGACAGAGCACGCAGCAUGGGGGGUGCUAGAAACGAGGGGAGGGAUUUCAAUUUUAGCUAAGAAGGUCAGGAAAAGCCUCUCUGAAGAGGAGCAGAGACCUGAGGGAAGGAGAAGAGGGGGCUAUGUAGGUAUCUAGGGGAAGAGUAGUUCAGGCAGAGGGAAUAGCCAGGACAGAGGGGAUCAAUAGUCCCAUUUGACAGAUGAGCAAGCCGAGUCUAGGUAGGUUAAGCAAAGUCACAGAAAAACCCAGGUUCUGUAACUCUUGAUUCAAUCAUCCCUCUAUAAAGCCUUUUGCUGGACACUGUGGGUGCCUUGGCUGAGGAGUGACUGGCUCUGUGUUCACCCCGCAGCCCUCUAGUUGGAGCUUGCUUCCCGUGUCAAGGAGAGCGUGGGCUGAUCCACGGCCUUGCCAUUCAGGUUCACUUGGGUGGCUCUGUUUUGCUCUUGUGUGUAUCCGUUCCUGUGGCCUUUAUUGGAGACAGUUAAACUGUAUCUACUCCUCAGGCAGUCUCAGAAAGCACAAUUCUGCAAAGCUGAGGACCAGACCCUGAAAUGUGGUGGUGACUUGGCCUCGGCAAAUUCCCUGUCCCUGGUCAGUAGUCAGAGGGGCCUCUGUGGGCAACUGCCGUACCUCCCUCCAUACCUUCCUUCAGACUUCAGCAGGAAGAUCUGAGGCGACUGUCUUUGGAGGGGUGGCAUCUGAACUGGUCUUGGAGGACACGGAGCAUGGCCAAGAGAGGCACGGAUGAGAAUUUCGGUGGAAGGAAGUGUGUGAGUGGCACAAAAGUGUCGCGUGCUGGACCAUCUAGUGCAUUGGGAGUGUAGGUGCUCAGAGGAUGUGUUUGUUGAGGGAGAGGAGAUAAGGCUGGAGGGAGACCGUAGGGUAGAUCAUGACAGCCUUUUUUUUCAAAUGGCCGACUUAGCGUGCCCAUUUCAGAUAAGCGGUCUGGAUUUUAUCUCUGUAGUCAUAGGGGUUUUAAGAUUUAAAGAAGCAAAGGAAGCAUGUGUGCAUUCCUGAUGUUUUUGAAAGAAUGCCUGGGCAGUAGUGGGGAGCGGGGUUGGAGAGGCUGUGUGGGGGGAGAGAGGGGAUUGCACCAGUCCAAAUGUUAGGUGGGAGCAAGAGGCACUAGAAAAGAAUGAUGUCAGUGUCUUUAGCUUGGAUGACUCGGUGGGUCACAGUUAACUGACACAUAAUACGAAGGAGGAGGGAUAGGUUUUAAGCACCUCGAGUUUGAGCCAGCUGUGUGACAUCUAGGUAGGGGUGUAGACCAGGAGUUCAAGCUGGAGUUGAGGACUGGAGAAGCUUGAAGGCUGAGGCUGAAGGAAGAGAGGGGAGUCUCGGCUGUUUGUGAGAAGAGAACAUAAGGGCUUUGGCUUAAGCCCUGGAAGGUGUUUACAGUUCUUUUCUUUCUUUUUUUUUUUUUUUUAAGAUUUUAUUUAUUUAUUUGACAGACAAAGAUCACAAGUAGGCAGAGCAACAGGCAGAGAGAAAGGAGGAAGCAGGCUCCCUGUCGAGCAGAGAGCCCGAUGCAGGGCUUGAUCCCAGACCCUGGGAUCAUGACCUCAGCCAAAGACAGAGGCUUUAACCCACUGAGCCACCCAGGCGCCCGGUGUUUACAGUUCUUGAGGCUGAUGGAGGAAGAGGAGCUAAGGAGGGAGCUGUGGAGGAGUGUUUUGGUGAAGGCAUCUCUGGGACCGUUGGACAUAGCUCAGCAGCUGAUGGGUGGUGAUGGAGGCCACGUCCCAGGGGGAACCACAGUUGACCUAGUCUGGGCUGUCUGCCCAGAGCCACUCAGAGACCAGGAGUGCUUCUGCUCAACCUGAGUUUGUUUGCGUGGUCUUCCGUAGACAUAUGUCCAGCCUCCCACUUUUGAGAGAAAUCUCCUGAAAGUGGAGAUCCUGACUUCUCCCCCAUUAUUCUCCAGGAAGCUCAGCCUAGGGUUUUGUAUACUGUGGGGCUCAGAACACUAGCGAGGGGGCUGAAUGGCUAAGUGGGAUGUGUGGCUGUGGUGAAUUUGGUCCAUGUCUUCUCCUUGAGUUCCUUUUUAAGAGAAUAUCUUGUUUCAUGGAAUGAGUGUGAUCUGCUCUCUGAAUCUUGAGUUGCUUCAGGCCUGCUUCGCCCAUUGGCCCAUCCAUCCGCCCAUCCAUCCAUCCAUCCGUCUAUCCUGUGUAGACUUUUGCUAAAAGUGGAACACUUUGCACAUGGGGUUGGGAGGGCUCCCCGUACUUGUCAUGCAUUAUCUUACAUUACAACAAGCCUCUGAGGGAGGCAUGACUACCCUGUUUUGCGGAUGAAAAAUCAGAUCAUUUUCCCCAGGUCACACAAGGGAGGGAUACAGUCAGGCGGUCUAACUCAAAAGUCCCUGUGCUCUCAAUUGCGAAUGUGAGGCCUCCUUAGGUAGGAGGUGAUCAUAGAAUUUAUUCUCCAAAUUGGAAUACAUGAAAAAAAUUUUUAUCAAGGGGCAUCUGGCUGGGCUAUGAGUUCGAGCCCCACGUUGGGCACGGAGCCUACUUAAAAAAUAAAUAAAUAAAAAAUUUAAAAAAAUAAAGUCUUAUUGAGAUCUAAUUUUCAUACCAUAGAAUUAAUUCACCUAUAUUGAGUUUACAAUUCUACAGUUUCUUUUGGUGGGUAUUUACAGAGCUGUGCAGUCAUUGCUGUCAUCUCAUUUUAGAACAUUUUCAUCAACCCAAAAAGAAACUCAGUACCCAUUAGCGGUCACUCCCCGUUACCAUCACCACCCCAGUCCCGGGCGACCACUGAUCUAUUUUCUGUCUCUACAGAUUUGCCUAUUCUGAACACUUCGUAUAAAUGGAAGCUUAUGAACUGUGGUCUUUUUGGUUGGCUUCUUUCACUUACCAUUAGGCUUCAGGGUUCAUUCCUGCUGCCAGAAUGCAUCCCGGUUGGCCUUUCUUUGCGUGAAUGACCUUUCUUUGCGUGAAUGACCGAAUGAUAGUCCAUUGUAUGGAUACACCUCUGUCUUCCUUGGGCUUGUUCACAUGUUGGCAAACAUUUGGAUUGCUUCCACUUUGGGGCUCUUAUGGGUAAUAAUAACGCUCUGACAUCUGUACACAGGUUUUAUGUGGAUGUAUUUUUUAAAAAUUUUUCUUGAUUUUUAAAUUUUUCUUAAUUUUUCUUGCAUCUAUGCUCAGGAGAGGAAUUGCGAAGUUAUAUGGUAAUUCUGUGUUUAAUGUUUUGAGGAACUGCUGAACCAUUUUCCAAAGUGGCUGCAACGUUCUGGGUUCCCAACAGCGGUUAGGAGUGCUCCAACUCUCCCACAUCCUCACCAACACUUGUUAUUCCAAACCGGGAGGCUGUUGAUGGUAAAAGGGUCCACCAUUAAUAAUUAUACCAGGAUAACCAGUAGCAAUGGGAACAUCUGAACUCUACCUACUUAGCAAAAAAAAAAAAAAAAAAGAGAGAGAGAGAAGAUUCAAUUCCUGCUUUCAGGGAACUUUUCUGGCCACAUGAUGAGUCAAAGCCCAAAAAACCCCUAUACUUGAGUCAAUUAAAGAAUCAAGUGAAGGUAAAUUAUUAAGAAGGAAAGCACAUUUUAUUUCUCCCAGGAGAUUGUGUUCUCUUUAAUAAGAAAAAAAGAACUGUCUUGUAUUUGUAUUGUUUAGGGCCCCAGGAAUAUCUUGGUACGUCAUAGGGUUUCAGUAAGGAUCUGUGGAAUAAAUGAAUGAAUGAGAAUGAAUAAUACAAACUUUCCUGGAGGGAAUGUAAAAAAAAGAAAAAUAGAAAUGAGUCAUCUGGCCCAGAUUUAUGAGUUUGGAGGAAGUGUGGAUCUUUUCUAAAAAUGGUUUUUUUUUUGCUCAGUGUGGAACAGCACUAAUGACAAUUUUAUUUGUUUAUUUUUACCAAUGACAAUUUUUAAAAAAGAUUUUAUUUAUUUAUCUGACACAGAGACAGCAAGAGAGGGAACACAGACGGGGGAAUGGGAGACGGAGAAACAGGCUCCCCACUGAGCAGGGAGCCCAAUAUGGGGCUUGAAUCCCAGAACCCUGGGAUCAUGACCCUUAGCCUAAGGCAGAUGCUUAAUGACUGAGCCACGCAGGUGCCACUUUGCUAAUGAUAAUUUUAUUUAUUUAUUUAUUAUUAUUAUUAUUUUUUAAAGAUUUUAUUUAUUUAUUUGAGAGAGAAACAGUGAGAGAGAGCAUGAGCAAGGAGAAGGUCAGAGAGCGAAGCAGACUCCUCAUGGAGCUGGGAGCCUGAUUCGGGACUCGAUCCCAGGACUCCGGGAUCAUGACCUGAGCCGAAGGCAGUCGUCCAACCAACUGAGCCACCCAGGCGUCCCGCUAAUGAUAAUUUUAAAAGGAAAAAGUAAAUUACCAACAAUUAGAGGAUUCUUUUUUUUUUUUUUAAAGAUUUUAUUUAUUUAUAUGACAGACACAGAUCACAUGUAGGCAGAGAGGCAGGCAGAGAGAGAGGGAGAAGCAGGCUCCCCGCUGAGCAGAGAGCCCGAUGCGGGGCUCGAUCCCAGGACCCUGGGAUCAUGACCUGAGCCGAAGGCAGAGGCUUUAACCCACUGAGCCACCCAGGCGCCCCCAAUUAGAGGAUUCUUUAACCGGAUUUUGCGAGUGUAGAUGGCUAAUGGAAGGUGGGAGAAAGACCUUACAAGCCUACAAACUGGGAGUCUGGAAGCAGAGUGCAAAGCUUUAUGCAGAACACCUCUACAGCAAGCUAACCAAAUUUGGGAAUGAGAGGAUGUAGGACCUACCCCCGAGAGGGUCCAGUGUUUUAUUCAUAGGAAACAAUGAGAAUAAUUUAAAAGGACCCUUAACUGGCUGUGUGCCCUCAGGGAGGUCAGCUCCCAUCUCUGACCGUCAUUGAUCCUUCCAGAUCUAAAUUUUCCUGAUUAUUCAGCCCUAUAGCCCUGGAAGCUUCUGUGGGAUUGGUGGCCCAGAAGGUAGGCCUUGAAGGAAAGAGCUCGAUUUGGAGAAAGGGGUAAGAUGCCAGUGGCGGGUGAUAAGGCCUUGAGGUGGACUGGAGUGCUCUGUCUGAGAUAAAUUGGAGAGGGUGGUUGGGGCCUCUCGAAGGAGAACUUUAAAAGCCAGGCUGGUUGACUUUUAAAUUUGACCUGAUAAGCAGGUCCUUGGACUGAAGAUGAAAGGAGUGUCUAUGAGAGAUUAAUCUGAUGGCUCUGGGCCAUCGAUCUGGAUCUAUCUGGAAGCAGUGUAAAGACCAAGAGGCUCUCAGGGAGGCCUUUGCAACAGUACUAGAAGCCCAGCCCUUCCAAAGAGGGUUUGAAACUCCUACCAGUCUCACUGUAUACAUGGCUUCUCUAGAGUUCAGUUUUCCUUAACCAUAAGGAAAUUAUUUUUAUAUGACAACAAUUAUUCUCCACUGGAAUCCUAAAUGUAUAUAUAAAUUUCUAAGGCAGAAUGUUAGACGUCAAAUACAUUUCAGGUUUGCCGGGGACAAUUUUGAAUUAUACUACCAGAUUCGUCAGAGGGAGAUGCAUUCUCUGUUCUCUGCUGUAAAGGGUUUACUUGGUGGCAGGUUUUGGGAAAUUUGCUAAAAGUCAACUGGAAGGAUGGGAAGGGUGGGAUCUUAGUUUCAGGAGUGGUUUCACUUUGGCCCAGGUAAAGGAUUAGAUGUUGGAAACCAAAGAAAGAAAUCCAAGAUGGUGCCAGAGUUUAAAAUCCGAGGACUCAGAAGAAAGAUGGUGUGCUAUUCAUAAAAAUGUACAAUUUGAGGGGCGCCUGGGUGGCUCAGCCAAUGGAGUUUCCAGCUCAUGAUUUCAGCUCCUGUCCUGAUCAUAGGGUCCUGGGAUGGAGCCCGAACCCCACCUGGGGCUUUGUGCUUGUGGGGGAAUCUGCUUGAAGAGUCUCUCCUUCUGCCCCUUCCCACUCAGUAUCCUGCACAAGCUUUCUCUCUCUCUCUCUUUAAAUAAUAAAAUAAAUAAAUAAUUUUAAAAUGUACCAUUUGAGAGAAAGGAGGGAAGAUGAUGGUUUACCAUGAGAACCUAGGGAACAGAUGGCCUUGCUAGCCCCAGGAAAGGACUGGGCAGAUUGGACAUACAGGAGGAACUGGCACUUCUGGGUCUUUCUCAGCCUUUGCCCUUGAAGCUCUCCAUUAGCCUGGAUGUUUGGCAUUUUGCCUGCUUUACUAUUAAUGUAUUACUAUGAGACAGGAUGUUUACUACAGGGUUUUUGUAGAUGUCCUAUAUCAGACUAAGGAAGUUCUCAUCUAUUCCUGCUUUGCCAAGAGUUCUUUCUUUGCUUGCUGUGAGCGGGUGUUGAAUUUUAUCAAAUGCUUUUUUUGGUAUUUGUUGAUGUGAUUAUAUGGGUUUCUUCACCCUUUAAUCUUUUUGUGUGAUAAAUUGUAUAGAUUUUAAAAAAUAAACUAUCCAAGCAUUUUUGACAUAAAGUCAACAUAAUCAUAACAUAGUAUCCUUUUAUAUAUUGCUGGACUCAGUUUGCUGAUAUCUUUAUGAAUGUAAUUUUCUUUUCUCAUGCUGUUUUUGUCUGGUUUUGGAAUCCAAGUGACACUAAAAAUACGUUGAGAAGGGAACCCUCUUUUUAUAUUUUCUAAAAGACUUUAGGUAAUAUUGAAAUUGCUUCUUUCUUGAAUUUUUGAUGGAACUCUUUGCUUGGUUGCUAUUGAAGUUUAUCCCAUCAUGUGGGUUAUAGUAGAGAAAGGAACUUUUAUAUGAGGAGUUAUAUUAAACAAUAAGGAACAUCUGUUACCCCAUACAUCACAAAAAGUCCAGAAGUAGGUGUCCCAGAAUUGGUUAAUUCAGCAGUUCAACAACAUUAUCGGGGAGAGUUUAUUCUGAUUUUGUAGCUGUGUCAUUGUCAGGUGUCAGCUUCUUCUCUUAUUGCAAGAUGGCUGCAGUUGCUCCACGCAUUGCAACACAGUGGUUAAGAGGAUGGGUUUUGUAGCUAACACUGGUUCCAAAUCACUAUGACACUAGGCAAUGCUUAACCUCUCUGGAAAAUGGGAUAAUAAUGGUAUUUUACCUCAAAAUUUACUGUUGUAUAGAUUAAAUGAAUUAGGAUUUGGUUUUGUUUCUUUUUUUUUUUUUUUUUUUAAGAUUUUAUUUAUUUACUUGACAGAGACACAGGAGAGAGGGGAUACAAGCAGGGGGAGUGGGAGUGGGAAAAGCAGGCUUCCUGCUGAGCAGAGAGCCUGAUUCGGGGCUUGAUCCCAGGACCCUGGGCAUGACCUGAGCUUAAGGCAGUCACUUAACGACUGAGCCAUCCAGGUGCCCCUGUUUUUUAACUCUUAAAAUAGUGUUUUGCAUAUGGUAAGCAUACAAUAAAUAUUAAUAUAUCUUACUCCAUUCUCACACGGGCAGAAAUGAAUUUUUUUCCUCUUGUACCCCAUUUAUUGAAGCCCCUCAGCAAACUGACUUCACAUUUAUUGGCUAGAAUUUGGCAGGUGCCCAUUCCUAAGCCAGCUGUGGGAUUAUCAUGAUUUGGUUUGGAGUAAUUUAGAUUUAACCUUUGAGAUGAAUGUCUAGCCUCCCCUGAAACACACGACAACCUGACUCUUCAUUGAAAUCUGGAUUGUUGGGGCACCUGGGUGGCUCAGUUGGUUGAGCAUCUGCCUUUGGCUCAGGUCAUGAUCCUGGUGUCCAGGGAUCGAGUUCCACAUCGGGCUCCCUGCUCAGCAGGGAGUCUGCUUCUCCCUCUGACCCUUACCCCUCUCAUGCUCUCUCUCUUUCUCUCUCUCUCUCUCUCUCUCUUGCUCUCUCCAAUAAAUAAAUAAAUUUUUUUUUUUAAAGUCUGGAUUGUUUGCAAGGAAGAGGUUGGAAGGAUGAUGGUGGGGACGUUUGGGUCAUAAGGAGGGGCAGAAUCGGAGUCCCCAUUCCUGUGGGCUCUCCACAAGAUUCCUUGGAAUUACCCUUUCAUUUCACCUAUAGCACUUCAGUUUACUUAAUGCUUUUCUAAGUUUAUUUAAGUAAUCUCUUCCCUUGAUGUGGGGCUCGAACCCAGGACACCGAGACUGAGUCACACAUUGUUCUGACUGAGCCAGCCAGGUGCCUUGCGUUAUUGCUUUUUUUAUUUUUUAAAGACUGUAUUUAUUUAUUUGACACACAGAAAUCACAAGUAGGCAGAGCAGCAGGCAGAGAGAGAGGGGGAAGCAGGCUCCCUGCUGAGCAGAGAGCCCGAUGAGGGGCUCUAUCCCAGAACCCUGGGAUCAUGAUCCAAGCCGAAAGCAGAGGCUUCAACCCACUGAGCCACCCAGGCGCCCCUGCCUUAUUGGCUUUUUAACUAGUGUGUGAUCUCCGCUAGUCUCAGAAUCCCCUUCUAAGCAGUGUGCUUUGUCAUUAUCCAUCUUUCGUAGUCGGGAAACAGGCUUCUGGAGCUGGAGGUGUGCUUGCCUGUGUGUGUGAGUGUGUGUGUGUGUGUGUGUGUGUGUGUCUGUAUGUCUCUCUCUCUCUCUCUCUCUCUCUCGUUGGGACAGAGCCAGGUCCUGGGACUCAAGUGCAGGUCUUGGGAUUCAAAAGUUCUCCCCUUUCAUUGCUCUUCUGUAAAUUACCAACUGCCUGUCAUGGACCUGCUAUUAAGAUUAUUUAUUUAUUUAUUUUGAGAGAGAGAGAGAUGAAAGAGAACAGGAACACGAAUCAGGGGAGGGGAGGGGGGCGCAGAGGAAGAAGCAGACUCCCCCCUGAGCAGGGAGCCCCAUGGGGGACUAGAUCCCAGGACUCUGGGAUCAUGAACUAAGCUGAAGGCAGAUGCCCAACUGACUGAGCCACCCAGCCUCCCUCCUACUACCUUAAAAUGAGCACACAACCUUAAAAAUAUUUAUUCAGGCUUAGAACUCCCGCUCCAGCUCCUGACUGGGCUGGAAUCCCAGCUCUGCCAAUGUGAUACAUGCAGGGUUGGGGGUGGGGUCCAUCCUGCUGCUCCCCUCUGCUCUCUCACCACUACAGGGUGCACCCCUGCUUCCAAGUGCCUGUGCUGUGGCUUUGCCUGACAGCUUGUUCUGUCUGUCCAAGUCCACUGUGCCCUCCCACAGGAAGUAAGUGUAGUUAAUUAAUUGGAGGCUCUUCCCUCCCUCCCCAGCAGCCCUCAACCUCUGCCUGUUGGGAAUCCGUGGACACACACAUCCCGGCUCCCUCGCCUUUCCCCUUUGGUUGCAGUGGCUUCCAGGCAAGAGCUUUUCCUUAUCUCCAGCACGAAUGAGCUUAAAUUUCUCACAUGGCCCACAUUGGGUCAGUGGGAGCUUACCCAAUCCCACACUCUUUACUGCAUUCCUCCCCUUUCCUGGGUCAUUUCCCCACUCCCUUUUGGGUGCUUCCUGGGACCAUCUCUCAGGGAAAUGACUUCCCUGGAGUCCUUGGCUCAGACUAUGCUUCCAGAGAGCCCAAACCAAGGCAGCCAUUUGCUGGUUGUGUUGACAAUAUCUAACUUCUUUGUGUUUCUCUGUUCACAUCCAUCAUAUGAGGAUACUUAACAGCCCCUGUACCUCAUAGAACAAAUGUGGUAAAGCUCUCAGUGCCUGACUAAGAGAAAGUGCAUAACAAUUAUUAUUAUUAUUAUUACCAUUACUGUUAUUACUACCUAACUGCCUUGUGCUUUGGUACAUGCUACAGUAUGCGGGUACCGCAUAGUUGAGACCCACUACUCCUUGCCUCUCCCUUCUUACACCCCACUUACUCUCUGAACUUCUGCAGCGCCCCCUCUUCAUCACAGGCUGUCUCCUUCCAAUCAGGUGUCCAGGACCACCCAUUCCCACCACUCUCAAUGCAGUCCAUCCUUCCCAUCACUUCUGGUGGGUGUUCCAAAUACCCAGGUAAAACUCUCCUGUCAGAAUGACAUCUCAGGAUUUCUCCAUGAUGUAGGAGCAUCUUAGGGGUCCCCUUUAGACUGGAAACUCUUUAAACUGGAGGCUUCUCAUUUCUGACUCAUGUCCAGAAUAUUCUAGGACAUCUUGGGGCGCCUGGGUGGUUCAGUUGGUUGUGUCUGCCUUUGGCUCAGGUUAGUAUCUCCAGGUCCUGGGAUGGAGCCCAGGACUGGGUGGGACUCCCUGCUCAGUGGGGAGCCUGCUUCUUCCUCUUCUUCUUUCCUCUCCCCCAAUUUGUGUGCACAGUCUCUCUCUCUCAAAUAAAUAAAUAAGUAAAAUCUUAAAAACAGAAACCAAAAACAAAAAACGAACAAAUAUUCUAGGACAUCUCAAAGCCUUCCUGAGGUCUGGGGCAGGGAAGACACUCAAUAAAUUGUUGUUGUGGGUGUUGAUCACAGCUACUGAGCACUUACUAUGGGCCUGGUGCUGUUGGUAUUUUUUCCCAUGUUAAUUUUUGCCACCACCCUACGAGGUAAGUGUUAGUUUUUCCAGCCUGGAGAUGAGGAGCCUAGCACAGAGAAGUUAAGUAACCUGCCCAAGAUCACAGCUGGCAAAUGGCAGAGCCCGGCAUCAGCCUAACUCUAGAGCUCCCUUAGUCAUGAUGCUAAAACCGGGGCCUGGGAUGAAGCAUGCUGGCUUCUUUACUCCCCAUCUGAGAGCCCAGGGACAGGUCUCGUUUUGCCAGGUGUUCUGCUGGAGCAGGUCACUCAUCUACCCUGGAGGCCCACAUGCUCAUCCCACCCCUAGCUGUUGAACAGGAAUCUCAGAGACGGUAGUAGGACAGGAAAGCUUCAUUUACUCAGAAUCCAGAGGGCCAGGAGGAGGGAGAAAAAGCAAAUAUGUACAUAUAUAGCCUGUGUUCUAAUUUUAUGAUAAGGAGAGACUAAACAGGUUCAGGCUAGUACCUGAGGUUUCUUUUCACAAGCAAUUUAUGUGCUAGAGAUUGCAAAUGGCUCCCCGCCCCUCUGAUCCAAUCCCUACAGCUUUGUGUGUGCCUGGAAAACAAAAGGAAUGUACAGCAGCGCCCAUGACCAACCACAGAGCGAAAAGGGGGAGCUAAGCAGUACCUCCCUUCUUUGGGUGGGACCCAUGCUGUCCCCACGCCCAGCCCCACCCCUCCCCAACAGCUCCCUUACCACCACCAAAAUGCCAUUUAUCCCGUGGCUCAGGCUGGUAUUUUCUUACAACUAGUUUUUUUCAUUCAUUCAUUCAUUCAUUCAUUCAUUCCGCAAAGUUCUUUUGGACACUUACUAUGACCCGGCACCAUUCUUGGUGGGAUGGGGAAGGAACAAAGUAUAAACAGAUACAGGAUGUUAGCGACACAUGUAGCGUCUGUUCCAGAAAUAGCCGAGCGGGUGAGAGAAUAGUGGGAAAUGGCGUGGGAGCAGAUGGCGCAGGUCUAGUGCGCAUCACAAGGACGUUAGCGGUCACCGGGAGUGGACUGAAGAGCUGCCUGAGUGCUGCUGUAUUGAGAUGAGACCGGAGGAGGCCAGGGUGGACCAGGGAUACCCACUGGGAAGCUAUCUCAGCUGUGAGCCAGGUGAUCCAACUAUGCCAAGGUGGUGGCAGGUGAAUAGAGGAAAGGGGAGGACUGGAGAUGUGUUUGGGGCAUAGAAUCAACCAGAAAUGGGUAACAGGGUGGAUGUGGGAGACCGCCAAGGAGAAGGAAGGAUUGAAUUUGGACCAGGGAAGUAAGUAGCAAAGGCAGAGGAAGGAAAAGGGUGGAUUCUGGAGAUAUUUCAAAAGUAGAGCAUCUCUGCUCUGCUGAUGGAUGGAUGUGAGAUUUGAAAGAGGAGUCAGGAAUGACACCAAGGGUGUUGGCUCUGUUUUGGAAGGAUGGAGUUGCCUUCUGGUGAUGUGAGGAAGCCUGUGGGAGAAACAGGUUUGGAACAGGAGAAAGAUGAGGAUCUCAGUUUUGGAGAAGUUGAAUUUAAAGGUGCCUAUUAGGGGAGCCUGGGUGGCUCAGUCGGUUAAGUGUCUGCUUUUGGCUCAGGUCAUGAUCCCAGUGUCCUGGGGUAGAGCCUCGAGUCUGGCUUCCUGCUCAGUGGCGAGUCUGCUUCUCCCUCUGCCCCCCUCCACAUUCUCUCUCUCUCU